UCAAAGAGAGCUUCCGAUCGCGUGGUGAUGCAAGCCAAUCAAAACGGUUUGAAUUUCGUUGAUCCGCGGAAUCGGGAACGGAAACGUAAAACGCGGCGCGAAAAAAUUGAAACGGCACGCGUCGCCAAUUGUUCCGGGCAUUGUGGAAUGUGGUUGAUCGAAUUUGACGGCGACUUUUUGCAUUUGAACUACCCUGAGGCUAGAAUUUAGCGGAUGAUUGAAGCAGUGUGAAAAAAUGUAUCAAGGGAAAAAUCGUUGAGUGUUGUUCAUAAAGUUCUGCCCUAAUUGGAAGCGUUUGUGGGAAACAUUGCGGCUCCAGAUCUGGAAUAACAUGGCAUAUGUGUCUGAAAAUUGAAUUGGUACUUAUUACGCGAAGCCCGACCGGGAAGAUGAAUCUGUUCAAGUGGGCCAGAAGUGACUUUGUUGUGUCUCUGUGUGAUCAGUAGUUUUAUGGGAAUUCUGAAUGGCUAAUAAGAAUGCAACAUUAGUUCGGACAAAAAACAGAAGCUGACUUUAGCUGGAAUAAACUUGAUGAAGAAAAAAUCAGCAAUUGAGAAAAAAUACUAAAAACUAUAAAACACUAUGAUGACAGAAAUAUUACUCCAAAGCAAUUUGAGUGUAUAAAAGAAUUAAAAAAGGAAAACUCUAAUUACGGAAUUGGUUUGAACACUGGAAAUCUACGGCAUCAUUGGCAGUAUUUCUCUGUUGAAUUCUCUUGGUAUAAAGCUUUAAAGACCUCGUUAUGUUGAAAGUGUUGUUCGUUCUUCUCCUCCAGGGAACGCUACUGUUCCUGAAGCUGUACGGCAAUCCGGAGAUUGUCAAAACGCACUGUAACCGAACUGCAACCGAGCUAGACGACUCGAGCAGUCCGAUUUACGACGAAGAUGAACUCCUGGCAGACGAUGACCGGAGC